GUGCAUCUACUGAUAGACCUCAAGUAAAAUUUAGUGACUUUGUGGUUUGCACUCAGAUGCAAGAUUAAAAUUCCUCAAUCUUCUGCCUGCUUCUCUGUGGCAGUUCAGAUGGAUAAAGGUAGACAGUU